CGGGAAGUAGCUCAGCUUGGUAGAGCACCACGUUCGGGACGUGGGGGUCGCAAGUUCAAAUCUUGUUUUCCCGA
rnacentral:tRNA from 4 species